ACGGCUGUGGCUCAGUGGAUAAAGCACCUGGUGCGAAAUGACGAUUACUCUGGAAGAGUUAUUAUCCGCGUGGGUUCGAAUCCCGCCUGUGGAU